UCUACUGCACUCAGGCCCUUGGAGCAGCUCUCCAGAGCUCAUGUCACCAGGACCACAUCUACAGUUUGUGUUUUGUGAUGCCCAGGUGAGGUGUGGGCUGCCUUCCUAAGGGCUGCAGCUGGCCAGGGGUAAGGCCAGCUCCGCAAAGCCCUCAGCCAUCAACAUGGCACCAAGUGGCAGCCUAUGCCAGGGAUGUCCAUAUGGUCUUUGGUGGUAACAUGGGCCAUGGACAUUGAUGCAGAUCCCUGCCACUCCACGCAGACAUGGCCCUUGGUGGUAGCCUGGGCUGGAAGGCUGCUCACCACGCUUGCGUCCCCAAUUCCUCUCCUCUUCAUAGUGCACAAACUGUUCUGUUUCUCUCUCUUUUCUAUCUCUCCACCACAUACUUGCUCAUUGUAGCGGUGCCUCUUAAAGCCCAAUCUAUGGAGGGAUUUUCUCAGUUUGGGUUCCCUCCUCUCAGGAGAGCUCGUCUCAUGACAUGAAAUUAGCUAGAACCUGUGGUAUGUGUAUAGUACGUGUUGUGUGUACUGAGGGGUGCAUGUGAUGUGUGUAUGGAGUGGUUGGUAUGAGCGUGUGGUUGUGUGUGUGUGAUAUAUGUGUGUGUCUGCGGUGUUUGGUGUGUGUGUGUGGUUUGACUGUGGGUGGUGUGGUGUGUCUGUGUGCUGUGCUAUGUGUGUGUCUGGUUUGUGUGGUAUUUGUAUGGCGUAUGAGGGAUGUGGUGUGCCGUUCUCCCUGGCGUAGCCUGUUGUGUAAGAAGAGGAAGAGGCCCAGCAACAGCCUUCAGGGAGCCCUCACUGCCGAAGGCCGUCCUCUGCCCACCACCUCCAAAGAGGAAGGUAACAAUAAAGGUCAAGACAAAAUGACACCAAAGUACCAGCAAAAUGAGGAAUGUUUAGCUGGUGGCAGUGAGCUGCUGCAGGCCAGCCUGGGAAUCUGGGGCAGAGCCAUUCUGGCACUCAGCCCUCCCAGUUCUAAAUCUAGUGCUUUCCCACCCGCCCCACGGCUACCACCAGAUUCCACGGAUUCUCACUGUAGCAGGCACUGUGCUCUCACAGGUGUCAUCCCGUCAGUGCGUACAGCAGCCUCGAGGUCUCUGGUGCACGACUUGGGUGCCAAGCUUCUACUUUGUGAGUGCUUUGGGCUGAUAGCAACUCUGCAGGAGCAAAGUUGGGCUGCUUGUCCCCUUAGCAGGGUCCAGGUGACGGCUCCAGGAGGAGCAGAAGCUGAGAGGCCCGGCCCCUCAGGCUUGCCUGAGCAAAACUACCAACACCUGCUCCUCGCUGCACAUUUGAUUUGGAAGAUGGGAUCUUUGCCUCUUCUGGGAGCUCCAGAGGUCUAACUUUGGCUCCUGCCUUGGGACUUCUCAGCUCCAGCCCUGGACAAGGGCAGGACAAAUGAACCGUGUGUUCUGGACACCCCAGCCGGUUUGUGAUAGUCCUGGCUGAACCCCUACCCCACAUGCUGGGCUGCAACAGUGAGAACCACAUCUUGUUUGUCUGUAGAAGGAAAGACAGAGAUCCUGGAGCUCCCGGCUGCGGGAGGAAGGGGGAGGGGCACCCUCGCUGUGCCCUCUCUCCACAGUCUCUGGCUCUGAAGCCUGGCAGGUCCUAUGUGGGACUAGCUACAUUGUGAAAUCAAGAGGCCUUGAAAUAACAUGUUUUCCAGAAAAGUACCUUCCUUAGAGGAAACCACUUGUUCCAAGGAAUAGAAAAGGGUCAUUGUGUCUUGCCAGGUCCCCAUUCCUGAGGUCGUGACACUUGAAAGCACAGUUGGAGACACAGUUAGAGUCUACAAGCCUCUACAGACUCCCAUGCAGACGGCCCCAUGUAGUAUACCUGCAGUUAGAAGUGCCUUAACUGCCAGCAGGAAUGGCUGACUGGCAUGUUCCAGCACGGCCACAAAGAUUUACAUUACGCAGGCUUCAAACAAGAAGGUAAAUUUAAACUCUGAACAAAAAAAAAAUAAUAACAAUUUGUCACAAAUUAGCAAGCAAGAAGUACAGUGAUUCAGAGGACUGUCCAGCUGUGUAAAACUUGACUUUUGGUAAAAUACAUUUCUCUGUUUGGAAGAUGUGAAGAACUCUAGGCCCUGGCGAACUGUUAUCUCGAGGCUGGACAGCAGAAGAUACAGAACUUGGCCAUACUCCAGUUUUCUUAGGGUCCCCAAAAGAUGCCUUCACCCCCAGAUAACAGAAAGCAAUUUUAAGAACACAACACCCC